rnacentral:rRNA from 1 species
CACGUAGGGCGCAAGCGUUGUCCGGAAUUAUUGGGCGUAAAGAGCUUGUAGGCGGUUUGUCGCGUCUGCUGUGAAAUUUCGGGGCUCAACCCCGAACUUGCAGUGGGUACGGGCAGACUAGAGUGUGGUAGGGGAGACUGGAAUUCCUGGUGUAGCGGUGAAAUGCGCAGAUAUCAGGAGGAACACCGAUGGCGAAGGCAGGUCUCUGGGCCAUAACUGACGCUGAGAAGCGAAAGCAUGGGGAGCGAACAGGG